AUAUCUAGGACCAUCUGAGUGUCUUAGAGUCACAUAAUUUCUGAGGAACCUGCAGUCCUUUGAUGUCUUCAUUUUUUUAAAUCUCAAACCAUAUUUACCAACAUGAUUUUUGCCCUCUUCCUCUCUCUACUUAUUUUCCUAUUAAAGCCACCAGAAUGGGAAUAUAUAUUGACUUAAUUUUGUUAUUAGUUUCAUCAAAGAAUUUUUCUUAUCCAUCUUCAACAAUAUAAGAUUACAUUCAUCACAAGGGCUGCAUGGCAUGAUAACCAAGUAUCUUUUGACACACUGUUUAUUGUUGCCUUUAGAAAAAUUAAACCAAUUUUGCCAAUUCCUUUAAUUCAUCUUACUGAGGAAAAUAUGCAAGUUGUCCUUCCAUUUAUUUAGCUAUAGCUUGUCUUCAGAUUUCAUUUAUAACAAAAAUGUCAGUAUGUACAUGGUUAACUUCCUCUAGUAGUAUUCCAUCUUUUUGGUAAUUUAACAGGGAUAAAUGCCAACUGUUAAAUUAAUGUUUAUAGACAGUCUGGAGAUACAUGAUUCUUAACAUCCCUUGCCACCUUUCCCACUAUCCUCCCCCGUUUAGGAGAAAGAACAAUCAAGUUUGAAUUUUCAAAAGGGAUGAUUCUUCUUAAUUGCAUAAAAUAUUUCUCUGCUAGAUAUAGACAUAUAUAUGCUAUUCAUUUCUGGAGAAUAAUCCUUAGUUGCUGCAUUCAAAAAGAAUUCUUUGAAGAAUAGUUAUAUUUGCCUAGAUUUCAUUCCCAGGUGGUACUCUUGUUCACUCUAGUCCAACAGAAUAAAUCUUCCAUAACUGUAUGCUUGCUUCUCAUGCAUUGACAACUUUGGAAAUAUAUUAAUGUGCUGUAGUUUUUCUUUAGGCUCCUGAAUUUGUUUCAGCUUGGUCAUGCUGUUAGGUGAAUCAUUUAAACUACAUGUGCUGUGGGUUCUGCACAAUUGGGGGUAGGUUGUUACGCAGUUGAGCCAUCUAAUCAAAACACAGUAGGACUCGUUAGUUUUCAUAUUAUUCUUAGUUUUAUUUUGCAGAAUAGGUAACUCCAGCAUAUAUUCCAUAGUGUAUUCUGAAAACAGGCCACAUACCUACCAACCUGGCAGACAUAAAUUCUUAAUUAUUCCACAAGUAAAACUAGUUAGCCAGAUCUCAAACUUGACUUUUCUGUGCCUCUUUUACAAUUAAACUCACUGUGAGAUAGGGGACAUUGGAUCACAGCUUCUUCAGAACUUGAUUUAACUUAACUUUCUACUUGGUACCAGUUUCAGCAGGUGAUCUGGGAUUUGAAAUAGGCUAAGAAUGAUGGGAAUUAAUUUGUUGGGAUCAGGUCUCAAAACCAUGUCCCUAAAGCAAGGUAAACGUUUUUUUUGGUUGGUUUUUUUUUUCCUGUACAGAGAACAUCAGGGUUUUAAGAGCAUGGGGUUUUUUGACAUAAAUGGGGGCACUGGAAUAAACUACUAAAGAGGUUUUUAUUUAUCUGGCAUGUUCACCAAAGACUUUUCUUAUGAUUAAGAUGUUGAGAGGUUUGAGUUAUUUCUAUUCUCAUUAAUGUUUUGAGAGAAAAGCCAAGAUCUAAGUCCAUAGCAGAAGCCUAUACAGGACUUGGUCUCUAGACAUGUGUUUGUAGGGAAUGUUUGUUGUUUAGUUUUAGUUUUUAAAAGUAAUUCAGUACUUUUCUGUAUAAUCAGUAGGAGACUCAUUGGCCUUAUGAAGCUAAUGAGAAGGGGAUACCAUCAGUUUUGGUGGGAAUCAAGUGCCCCUUCUGUGAAGCUGAACUGGUUGGUCCUGGGUCAUUACAGUAUGUGAAGUGUUGCCUCAAAACCACUGUAGAAAGUAAGCCUACCAUAAAGCCAAAAAAAAAAAAAAUCAAUCCUUUUCAUGCAAAUAUUACUUAUUCUUGACUUUUUCACUAUUACAAACACUUUACUAAUGAACUUUUGUUGAUUUCACCCUUUGCAUGAGACUGUGAGUACUUUGGAAACUUGAAUUUCUCCAGGUAAGUCACAUGUGGACUUGCAUUUCCACCUGAAGAGUUCUAAACUGUAUGCUCAAAGACAAGCCUGAUUGUAUCCUAUUUCAAGCUCACCUUUUUGGGUGCUCCCUUCAAAACUUUGCCCAAACCAUACAAAUAGCCUUGUUUUUGAAGGCAGCCUUAGGGUAAAAGAGUAGAGGGUGGGUGUUGGAUGCACUGAAGAUUACAAGGUUCUUUAUUGCAAUGUUUGAAGAAUCUUCUAUUUUUACAACCAGCAAAACCAGGAAUUGAAGUGAGAGAAUAGAAAAAUAGGCCUUUAAUUCUCAUCUCAGAGUCCUUUCCUGGUUUAAGAUGCAUGGUUCAGUCUGUCCCAGUGUGGUGACCUAUCUCAAGGACUGCUAUUCAAAAGGAAGUAAGUCAGAACCUUGUCAGAUGGGUCCCUGACACCAGCAGUGAGACACUGACCCUGUAGCCUUUAUCUAUGGUAAAGGGUCUCACUCCAACCAACUUUGAAGGCAGUAGGUAAAAAUGGCAUAACACAAUGCCCCCAUCUGAAAGUUUUUUUUUUUUGCACCAGGGUCAUAGUGUUUCCAUAUGGCUACAAUAUAUUAGCUUUAGCCUACUUGUCCUACAACUUUGGUAGAAUGAAAGUGGACAACACUAGGCCACUUGAAUUGAAAAGAUGGUGGUUUGAAUUCUGGAACAAACUAACAGAAGAAGCAGCUGACUUUGGUAGGUUAUGAUACUCAGGCAAAAACAAUAAGCUGGUUGUAUCAUCACUUACGUAGUUCUACUUUGCAAGAAACCUUUAAAGAAGGUCUCUUGAGGUUUUGAGUUUCUCCCUCUUCUUUUCCCCUUUCCUCCUUUUUAGUCUAAUAACUAACGUAGACAAUCAGAGGUCUGCUGAGGAGGGACUCCUGGCUGGUACCAGCACCAUAUUUAGGCCUCUUUCAUAUACUAACUCAUUGGAACUGAUGCACUUUGUUUCCUGUAUUUUGCCUUUUAUUAGCUGCUUGUUUGGAACAAAAUGAAAUGCAUACUGUGUUGUGACCUUCCUGCUUGCUGUUUUUUCCUUAAUUUCAAAAGUUAUGCAUCAAGGGUAAAAUACUACUUAAGGAGAAAUAUGCACAAACAAAUAUGCCUAUUGAAAAUAAUGUCCAUCAUGUUUGGUAGGUGUAGUGACUUCAAAGGAUUUUAAAAACUAUUUUAGAUGGGUAUUUUGCUUGUUUCCUUGUAAAUAAGAAUGUAAAUAAGUUUGUGGUCUGAC
ensembl:lncRNA